AUUGAACGCUGGCGACAGGCCUAACACAUGCAAGUCGAGCGCGAAAGUCUUCGGAUGAGUAAAGCGGCGAACGGGUGAGUAAUGCAUGGGAAUCUGCCUGGUAGUGGGGGACAACGUCUCGAAAGGGACGCUAAUACCGCAUACGCCCUACGGGGGAAAGGGGGGAGUCUUCGGACCUCUCGCUAUCAGAUGAGCCCAUGUCAGAUUAGCUAGUUGGUGAGGUAAAGGCUCACCAAGGCGACGAUCUGUAACUGGUCUGAGAGGAUGAUCAGUCACACUGGAACUGAGACACGGUCCAGACUCCUACGGGAGGCAGCAGUGGGGAAUAUUGGACAAUGGGGGCAACCCUGAUCCAGCCAUGCCGCGUGUGUGAAGAA
rnacentral:rRNA from 1 species